GAUGAACGCUGGCGGCGUGCCUAAUACAUGCAAGUCGAGCGAAUGGAUUAAGAGCUUGCUCUUAUGAAGUUAGCGGCGGACGGGUGAGUAACACGUGGGUAACCUGCCCAUAAGACUGGGAUAACUCCGGGAAACCGGGGCUAAUACCGGAUAACAUUUUGAACCGCAUGGUUCGAAAUUGAAAGGCGGCUUCGGCUGUCACUUAUGGAUGGACCCGCGUCGCAUUAGCUAGUUGGUGAGGUAACGGCUCACCAAGGCAACGAUGCGUAGCCGACCGGAGAGGGUGAUCGGCCACACUGGGACUGAGACACGCCCCAGACUCCUACGGGAGGCAGCAGUAGGGAAUCUUCCGCAAUGGACGAAAGUCUGACGGAGCAACGCCGCGUGAGUGAUGAAGUCUUUCGGGUCGUAAAACUUUGUUGUUAGGGAAGAACAAGUGCUAGUUGAAUAAGCUGGCACCUUGACGGUACCUAACCAGAAAGCCACGGCUAACUACGUGCCAGCCGCCGCAGUAA
rnacentral:rRNA from 1 species